UCUUACCCAUCUCUCUCAUUCCUCUCAAACAUCUCUUUUUCAUCUCUUUCACUCCAACUUUUUCUCUGUCAUCCCUACUCUAGCUCUAAUUGAAAAAAAAGAAUCAGAAACACUUGCCUUAUUUUAUUAAUUUUCAUUCUCAAAACUAAAAAAAGAAAACCUCAAACCCUUAUUCACCUCCUUCAUUCCUCUCAACCAUUUCUCCUUCAUCUCUCUCACUCAAACAUUUUCUUUGUCAUCUCUGCACUAGCCCCAACUAAAAAAACAUUCAUUAUUAUACGAUUUACUUUUGUUAAGAGUUUAGUCAUACUCACCUUUCGAAAAAUGUUCAUUCAAAAUCUCUUUAAUUUCAUUAUCUUCACUAUAUAUAUUACAGUCAACGGGCACAACAUGCACCAAGACUUAUGAGCAUCCUUCCUUUACAUUCCUUUACAUUCUGAGACUACUACGUAACAUUGAUCUAUAGCCAUUUAAUUUUUUUUGGUAGAAAUUCAUUAACUUGUUUUCCUUUACUAAAGAAAAAAACAAAUCAAAAUACAAUAAAAUUAUCAAUUAUAAAAUCAAACAAUAAAAAUUCUAAAUCUUGAAAUUUUAUUUAUAAUUAUAUAAAGAAAAAAUUAGGUGCUUUAAUUUUUUUAUUCAUGGAAGUAUUUUUUUUCUCUAACCAUUUUAUUUAAUAAUGAGUGUUUUUUUAGUUAAAGCUAGUGCAGAGAUGACAGAGGAAAUGUGUUGAGUGAGAGAGAUGAAGGAGAAAAGGUUGAGAGGAAUGAAGGAGGUGAGUAAGAGUUUGGGUUUUUUUUUUUUUUUAAUUUUGAGAAUGAAAAUGAUUAAAAUAAGACAAAUGUUUUUGAUUUUUUUCAAUUAGGACUAGAGUAGGGAUGACAGAGAAAAUGUUGGGGUGAAAGAGAUAAGAGAGAAAGGUUGAGAGGAAUGAGAGAGGUGAUAAGGGAUUUGGGGUUUCUUUUUUUAUUUUUUUUAUUUUGAGAAUGAAAAUUAUUAAAAUACCAUUAACCUUAAAACUUAGAAUUCAUGAUAUAAGGGUAUUUUUGUCUACUGAAAUCCGGUACACAUUGCUAAAAUGUACCAACUGAAAAACAGGCGUACGCAAGUUAGCAAACCCAUAUAUAUAUGAAUGCUAGAAUAGAUCGGAAUUGUUACUGUAAUACUUAUAGAUACUUCAACCCAUUCUAAAUAAAUUGUGACUUAAUCUGGACGCUCCGUGGGGUUAAACCUGUACCUCCAAUCAUUUCCUUCUACACCUCUAAUUCCGAAAAUAUUCCUAAUUAAUAAAUAGUUUAAAAUUUUAAUAUUUUGAUUAGUGAAAAUUUCUGUGUCAUCAUUGAUUCCACUUCCAUUUUCUUUCAAUCACUAAGCAUACAUUGUUGACCUCCGUAAUCCUUGACCCUGCACCCUUUCAUUCCUAUACCCCAUUUUCAUUUUUAUAAAAAAUCCUACACCCCUG
rnacentral:lncRNA from 1 species